rnacentral:rRNA from 1 species
AGUACCUUGGAAAGAGAUUUCGGUCAAUGGAAGAGGAUACUUAGUGGCGGACGGGUGAGUAACGCGUGAGGAACCUACCUCUCAGAGGGGGACAACAGUUGGAAACGACUGCUAAUACCGCAUAAUAUAUCUGUAUCGCAUGGUAUGGAUAUCAAAGAUUUAUCGCUGAGAGAUGGCCUCGCGUCUGAUUAGCUAGUUGGUAGGGUAACGGCCUACCAAGGCGACGAUCAGUAGCCGGACUGAGAGGUUGGCCGGCCACAUUGGGACUGAGAUACGGCCCAGACUCCUACGGGAGGCAGCAGUGGGGAAUAUUGGGCAAUGGGCGCAAGCCUGACCCAGCAACGCCGCGUGAAGGAAGAAGGCUUUCGGGUUGUAAACUUCUUUUAAGAGGGAAGAGCAGAAGACGGUACCUCUUGAAUAAGCCACGGCUAACUACGUGCCAGCAGCCGCGGUAAUACGUAGGUGGCAAGCGUUGUCCGGAUUUACUGGGUGUAAAGGGC